rnacentral:rRNA from 1 species
GACGAACGCUGGCGGCGUGCUUAACACAUGCAAGUCGAACGGAAAGGCCCCUUUGGGGGUACUCGAGUGGCGCACGGGUGAGUAACACGUUAGUAACCUGCCCUUGACUUCGGGAUAACUUCAGGAAACUGGGGCUAAUCCCGGAUAGGAAUCCUUGCUGCAUGGUGGGGGUUGGAAAGCUUCGGCGGUUUUGGAUGGACUCGCGGCUUAUCAGCUUGUUGGUGGGGUAUUGGCUUACCAAGGCUUUGACGGGUAGCCGGCCUGAGAGGGGGAACGGCCACAUUGGGACUGAGAUACGGCCCAGACUCCUACGGGAGGCAGCAGUGGGGAAUAUUGCACAAUGGGCGGAAGCCUGAUGCAGCAACGCCGCGUGCGGGAUGACGGCCUUCGGGUUGUAAACCGCUUUCAGCAGGGGCGAAGCUUGUGGUGACGGUACCUGCAGAAGAAGCACCGGCUAACUACGUG